rnacentral:rRNA from 1 species
GGCUCAGAAUGAACGCUGGCGGCGUGCUUAACACAUGCAAGUCGCACGAGAACGCUUCAGCUUGCUGAAGUUAGUAAAGUGGCGCACGGGUGAGUAACGCGUGGGUAAUCUUCCCCCGAAUUGGGGAUAACAUUGCGAAAGCGAUGCUAAUACCGAAUGAUAUCUUUCGUACCCAGGUACUUAAGAUCAAAGGUGGCCUCUACAUGUAAGCUACUGUUUGGGGAUGAGCCCGCGUACCAUUAGCUUGUUGGUAGGGUAACGGCCUACCAAGGCUGCGAUGGUUAGCUGGUCUGAGAGGAUGAUCAGCCACACUGGAACUGACACACGGUCCAGACUCCUACGGGAGGCAGCAGUGAGGAAUUUUGCGCAAUGGGGGAAACCCUGACGCAGCAACGCCGCGUGAGUGAUGAAGGCUUUCGGGUCGUAAAGCUCUGUCAAGUGGGAAGAACCCACAUGGUGUUAAUACCGCCAUGUGCUGACGGUACCACUGAAGGAAGCACCGGCUAACUCCGUGCCAGCAGCCGCGGUAAUACGGGGGGUGCAAGCGUUAUUCGGAAUUACUGGGCGUAAAGAGCGCGUAGGCGGUCCUUUAAGUCGGAUGUGAAAGCCCGGGGCUUAACCCCGGAAGUGCACUCGAAACUAAAGGACUUGAGUAUGGGAGAGGGAAGUGGAAUUCCUGGUGUAGCGGUGAAAUGCGUAGAUAUCAGGAGGAACACCGGUGGCGAAGGCGACUUCCUGGACCAAUACUG